ACUCAACAGGCAUUGCCUUAGUAACGGCGAGUGAAGCGGCAAAAGCUCAAAUUUGAAAUCUAGUACUUUCAGUGCUCGAGUUGUAAUUUGAAGAAGGUAACUUUGGUGUUGGCCCUUGUCUAUGUUCCUUGGAACAGGACGUCACAGAGGGUGAGAAUCCCGUGCGAUGAGGUGUCCAAUACUAUGUAAAGUGCUUUCGAAGAGUCGAGUUGUUUGGGAAUGCAGCUCUAAGUGGGUGGUAAAUUCCAUCUAAAGCUAAAUAUUGGCGAGAGACCGAUAGCGAACAAGUACAGUGAUGGAAAGAUGAAAAGAACUUUGAAAAGAGAGUGAAAAAGUACGUGAAAUUGUUGAAAGGGAAGGGUUUGAGAUCAGACUUGGUAUUUUGCAAUCCUUUCCUUCUCGGGGAGGUUUCUUAGCAGCUUACCGGGCCAGCAUCGGUUUGGAUGCCACCACAACUGACAUUGGAAUGUAGCUCUUCGGAGUGUUAUAGACUUUGUUGAUACUGCCUAUCUAGACCGAGGACUGCGUCUUUGAUCUAGGAUGCUGCCGUAAUGAUCUUAAACCGUCCCGUCUA
rnacentral:rRNA from 1 species